AGUAUGUUGACUCCCUGUACAAUACCUCUCCCUUUCACUUCACUCUAAGUACUCUUAACAAUAUCUUGAAAUAUAGUUUCUGGUUUUGUUUCCAGUCAAGUCAUAUUAUUGAGGACUGCAGGGUGGGAGAUGUAACAAUGUCCUUGAGAACAGCAGGAAGUGUGUUGGUGGUCUUUCUCUGGUCUGUAGCAGUGGUACUGGGUCAGGAUGGCUGGAGUGUGACAUACACCACUCAGAGUAUCUGUACCUUGAAGGGGUCAUCAGUGGAUCUGUUCUGUUCAUAACAGAUCAGACUGGAGGGAAUUAUGCUGGUGAUCCUGGAGUUACUCUGUCUGUUACAGACCUGCAGGUGAAGGUGACCACUACAUGGUGGUCAAUGACACUGACCUGUAGCACCACCUGUACUCUGACUGGUAACCCCACCUACACCUGGUACAGGAACAGUAAGAUUGUACAAGAGGACUCCUCCCCCUCGUACACAUUCUACUUUAAAACUGAAGACAGCUUCUACUGUGCUGUAAAAGGCAUCAAUUCUCCUGCAGUGUACGGCCCAAAGAACACCUCAGUGUCAGUCAGUCCCUCUGGUGGAAUAGUGGAGGGCAGUUCAGUGACUCUGACCUGCAGCAGUGAUGCCAACCCACCUGUGGACAAAUACACCUGGUACAAGAAGAAAGUAACCUCAGCAUAAGCAUCAGGACAGAGUUACAGCAUCACUAACAUCAUCUCUGAGGACAGAGGAGAAUAUUACUGUGAGGCUGAAAAUAAAUAUGGACGUCUCAACUCUUCUUCUGUGUCUGUGGACGUUCAGUGUAAGUUCACCUAAUCUUCAUCUAUUCAUUGAUAAUCACACAGGUCAACAACAAUAAAUAAUACUAAGCAAUGUGAGACACUUAUCCUACCGUAUGACAUAGAAUUAAAUAAAUAUUGUUCUUCCCUGGUUUCCCCUAUAUCUCCACCUUGCAUUUAUUACCUCAUGAUAUGACAGCAGUGUUUCCCUGGUUUCCUCUGUGUCAUAUCUCCACCUUGCAUUUAUAACCUCAUGAUAUGACAGCAGUGUUUCCCUGGUUUCCUCUGUCAUAUCUCCACCUUGCAUUUAUUACCUCAUGAUAUGACAGCAGUGUUUCCCUGGUUUCCUCUGUCAUAUCUCCACCUUGCAUUUAUUACCUCAUGAUAUGACAGCAGUGUUUCCCUGGUUUCCUCUGUCAUAUCUCCACCUUGCAUUUAUUACCUCAUGAUAUGACAGCAGUGUUUCCCUGGUUUCCUCUGUCAUAUCUCCACCUUGCAUUUAUUACCUCAUGAUAUGACAGCAGUGUUUCCCUGGUUUCCUCUGUGUCAUAUCUCAGAGCUGCCCUGACUGUUGGAGCUCUUCUAGUCACCAUCUACUGCUAUAUUAAGAGGAGACACACAGGAGGAAGUGAUGCCACAUCAGACACACAGAUCCUGGAGAAAAAAAAAUGUCAUUUUAAUCCAUAGAGACGUGAAGGAGAAGCACGUCGGAUGUUGAUCUCUUCUCGGCUGGGUCCUCAUUUGGGACCAAAGUUCCUUGUUGUUAAGAGACUCUCACAGACUCUGCAGACGCUAACUACAGAGGCCAACAGUGACAUGUACACAGCUCUGAACAUGAAAACCAGGCCACCAGAGUAUGACACCCUGGCAAAUGUGAGGGGACUCCCCAGUGACACAGCCCCUCAAAUAGAUCCUUAGCUCUCCAUUUAUGAGAAAUGAAGAGAACCACCACAGAACCUAGACUGAAGAGAAGCACCACAGAACCUGGACUGAAGAGAAGCACCACAGAACCUAGACUGAAGAGAACCACCACAGAACCUAGACUGAAGAGAACCACCACAGAACCUGGACUGAAGAGAACCAUCACAGAACCUGGACUGAAGAGAACCAUCACAGAACCUGGACUGAAGAGAACCACCACAGAACCUUGACUGAAGAGCAACAGCAUCAAACCAAAGCUAGGCCUCAUAAUGUUAUUCUCUUUCUAUCAUGUUGCUUUUUAAUCCAGAAGGUUUGAGACAAUGAGCUUUAACUUUUGAGUAAAUGCUGGAAUUUAGAUUAUUCUCCUAAUGAUAUACAGUAUGUGUACUAUCGUUCAAAAGUUUGGGGUCACUUAAAAUGUCCUUGCAUUUUUUUUUGUCCAUUAAAAUAUAAUCAAAUUGAUCAGAAAUGCAGUGUAGACAUUGUUAAUGUUUUAAAUGACUAUUGUAGCUGAAAAUGGCAGAUUUGUUUGUGGAAUAUCUACACAGGCGUACAGAGGCCCAUUAUCAGCAACUAUCACUCCUGUGUUCCAAUGGCACACUGUGUUAGCUAAUCCAAGUUUAUCAUUUUAAAAUGCUAAUUGAUCAUUCGAAAAUCAUAUUGCAAUUAUAUUAGCACAGCUGAAAAUGGUUGUGCUUGCUGAUUUAAAAGAGGCAAUAAAACGGGCCUUCUUUAGAUUAGUUGAGUAUCUGGAGCAUCAGCAUUUGUGGGUUCGAUUACAGGCUCAAUGUUGCAAUUUAUCUAUUACAGACACUCAGUUUUCAACUUAUCUGUUUUCUAUCUAUUGAUUGUAUUGGUUUUUUUCUAUGGGAUUUUGCCAAUUCCAGAUUUUUACAACAUAUAAAGUUAUGUCUUGUCUUAGUGACACAAAAAUGAAUUAUAUUGACAAGAGAUUUUAAAUAUUUGUAUCUCUGGAGUUGUUCCUGAUGUGUUAAAAUAUGUUUUACUUUGUAUUGCUGUCAGUCAUUACUGGUCAUUUUAUAUUUUAUAUUAUGUAAUACCAUAUUGUUCAGUGUCAUGAUAUUCCUUGUUUUAUUAUCACAUUAUUCAUUAUUAUGUAUUUUAGACACAUUGAAUACAGUAUAAGCAUCAUGUUGUAAAUAAGCUCAAAUGUAAACAAUAAAAAGACAA